UUAUUGAGAUAUGAUUUACAUCAAAAGUAAAAUUCACCCUUUUCAGUAUGCAGUUCUAUGAAUUUUGACAAACACAUACAGUUGUGUAACCACCAUCAUAAUCAAGAUACAGAACGUUUCCACCACCCCUAAAGGUUUCUUCAUGCCCUUCUGUGGGCACCCCCCUCCCUGCACCCCCAGGCCCUGGCAACCACUGAUCUGUUUUCUAUCCCUAUAGUUUUGCCCUUUCCAGAAUGACAAGACAUAUUCUUUACAACACUUACAUAAAAUAGCCAAAGGCCUCUUCCAACUCGCACACAACGCUGUGUGUUCAGUUGCCUUAUGACCCUCUUGCGUAUGCUAGGAGGGAGAACCCAGAGUCUGAGGCUUACAAAGGGCAAGAAAAUUCACUGCAGCCUGAGAAGCCUACGCAUGGUCUCCUGAGAGCAGGACACAUCCUGGUGGGAGGGGGAGCCGCUCUUUAAAGUCCAAAAACAAAGGCCUCAUUUUAAACUGUCCCCGUGUAAACCUCCCAGCUUCCUCUUCCCUGACUGCACAGCAUUAGACACAACUAGGUUUCCUUCCGGUUUAGAUGAAUUUCUGGGUUAAAGGAAAACGUGAAUUACUGUGGCUGGAACUGGAUAUAGAUGAGUAAGAAAAUUCUGCUAGGCUAAGAAGCUUGAGUUUCAGUAGAAUAGUCUUCCUGUCAGAUCUGGCUUGACCUCACACUGAUCGGUAAAGCACACCUCUGAAC